GAAUUUAAUAUAAUUUUUAAAUUUAUUUGUGGAAAUGAAUUUUAUUUUAAUAUUUAUAUUUUAUUGGGAGGAUAAUUAAAUAAAAUAAACUUUAAUUUUGAGAUAGGCUUGACAUUAAUUAAUGAAAUUUUAUUGAGGAUUGAUUAUUAAAUUAAAAAAUUUUUUUUUUGUAAUAAUUAUUAAAAGAAUUAAUUACCUUAGGGAUAACAGCGUAAUAUUUUUAAAAAGAUCAUAUUAAUAAAAAUGAUUGC
rnacentral:rRNA from 1 species